rnacentral:rRNA from 1 species
GCUUGUCUCAAAGAUUAAGCCAUGCAUGUCUAAGUAUAAACAACUUUAUACUGUAAAACUGCGAACGGCUCAUUAUAUCAGCAAUAAUUUAUUUGAUGGUUUCUUACCCCAUGGAUAACUGUGGUAAUUCUAGAGCUAAUACAUGCGUAAAGUCCCGACUCUUUCUGGGGAGGGAUGUAUUUAUUAGAUAAAAAACCAAUGGGUGCAAGCCCUCUAUGGUGAUUCAUAAUAACUUCUCGAAUCGCAUGGCCUUGCGCCGGCGAUGCUUCAUUCAAAUAUCUGCCCUAUCAACUUUCGAUGGUAGGAUAGGGGCCUACCAUGGUAUCAACGGGUAACGGGGAAUUAGGGUUCGAUUCCGGAGAGGGAGCCUGAGAAACGGCUACCACAUCCAAGGAAGGCAGCAGG